rnacentral:rRNA from 1 species
AGAGUUUGAUCAUGGCUCAGAAUGAACGCUGGCGGCGUGCUUAACACAUGCAAGUCGAACGNUAACAGAACUAGCUUGCUAGUUGCUGACGAGUGGCGCACGGGUGAGUAAUAUAUAGUUAACGUGCCCCUAAGCCUGGGAUANCCACUGGAAACGGUGAUUAAUACCGGAUAUACCUUCUACUUAUUAAGAGUAGUCAGGAAAGGUUUUUCGCUAAGGGAUCGGACUAUAUUGUAUCAGCUAGUUGGUGAGGUAAGAGCUCACCAGGGCAAUGACACAUAGCGGGUUUGAGAGGAUGAUCCGCCACACUGGUACUGAGACACGGACCAGACUCCUACGGGAGGCAGCAGUGAGGAAUAUUGCACAAUGGAGGAAACUCUGAUGCAGCAACGCCGCGUGGAGGAUGACGCAUUUCGGUGUGUAAACUCCUUUUAUAAGAGGAGAAAAUGACGGUAUCUUAUGAAUAAGUCCCGGCUAACUCCGUGCCAGCAGCCGCGGUAAUACGGAGGGGACAAGCGUUAUUCGGAAUCACUGGGCGUAAAGGACGCGUAGGCGGGUUAUUAAGUCGGGUGUGAAAUCCAAUAGCUCAACCAUUGAACUGCAUUCGAAACUGAUAACCUAGAGUAUGGAAGGGGCAGGUGGAAUUAGUGGUGUAGGGGUAAAAUCCGUAGAUAUCACUAGGAAUACCGAAAGCGAAGGCGACCUGCUGGGACAUUACUGACGCUGAGGCGUGAAAGCGUGGGGAGCAAACAGGAUUAGAUACCCUGGUAGUCCACGCCCUAAACGAUGAAUGCUAGUCGUCGGGGAGCUAGUCUCUUCGGUGAUGCACUUAACAGAUUAAGCAUUCCGCCUGGGGAGUACGGUCGCAAGAUUAAAACUCAAAGGAAUUGACGG